UGUCAGCCGCCGCGGUAAUACCAGCAGCCCGAGUGGUGGUCGAUUUUAUUGAGUCUAAAACGUUCGUAGCCGGUCUAGUAAAUCCUUGGGUAAAUCGGGGGGCUUAACCUUCCGAAUUCCGAGGAGGCUGCUAGGCUUGGGAUCGGGAGAGGUAAGAGGUACUUCAGGGGUAGGGGUAAAAUCCUGUAAUCCUUGGAGGACCACCGGUGGCGAAGGCGUCUUACUAGAACGAAUCCGACGGUGAGGGACGAAGCCCUAGGUCGCAAACGGGAUUAGAUACCCCGGUAGUCUAGGGUGUAAACGCUGCCGACUUGGUGUUGGGGGCCCUUCGGGGGCAUUCAGUGCCGGAGAGAAGUUGUUAAGUCGGCUACUUGGGGAGUACGUCCGCAAGGAUGAAACUUAAAGGAAUUGGCGGGGGAGCACCGCAACGGGAGGAGCGUGCGGUUUAAUUGGAUUCAACACCGGAAAACUCACCAGGGGAGACCAUCACAUGAAAGCCAGGCUGAUGACUUUGCUUGAUUCUUGGAGAAGUGGUGCAUGGCCAUCGUCAGUUCGUACUGUAAAGCGUUCUCUUAAGUGAGAUAACGAACAAGACCCACACUUAUAAUUGCUACUCAGGUCCCCGGAUCUGAGGCACAUUAUCGGGACCGCUGGCGCUAAGCCAGAGGAAGGAGUGGUCAACGGUAGGUCAGUAUGCCCUGAAUCUCCUGGGCUACACGCGCGCUACAAAGGGCGGGACAAUGGGUUCCGACACCGAAAGGUGCAGGCAAUCCCGAAACCCGUCCGUAGUUCGGACUGAGGGUCGUAACUCACCCUCACGAAGCUGGAUUCCGUAGUAAUCGCGAAUCAAAAACUCGCGGUGAAUAUGUCCCUGCUCCUUGCACACA
rnacentral:rRNA from 1 species